AUACCGGGCCUUUUUGGGCUUGGUAAUUGGAAUGAGGGAGAGUUAAACGGACCAUCGAGUAUCCAUUGGAGGGCAAGUCUGGUGCCAGCAGCUGCGGUAAUACCAGCUCCAAUGGCGUAUAUUAAAGUUGUUGCAGUUAAAAAGCUCGUAGUUGGACUUGUGUGCGCUGUCCGCGGGUGGCCUGCGCCCAAAAGGGCGUUUCGGUUCGGCCCCGGUGGCGCCUUGAAAUCUGCAGCUGGGGGGAUGUUGGCCUUAACUGGUCGGCGACCGCACGCCGGCUGCUCGGUUACUGUGAGAAAAUUAGAGUGUUCAAGGCAGGCAUUGGGUGCAAUUGAAUACAUUAGCAUGGAAUAAUAAAAUAUGGCUCCUGCCGUAUUUUGUUGGUUUUGACUGGUGGGAGUAAUGAUUGAUAGGGACGGUUGGGGGUGCUAGUAUUGAGCGGCCAGAGGUGAAAUUCAUGGAUUCGCUCAAGACUAACUUAUGCGAAAGCAUUCACCAAGGACGUCCUCUUUAAUCAAGAACGAAAGUUGGGGGAUCGAAGACGAUCAGAUACCGUCGUAGUCUCAACCAUAAACUAUGUCGACUUGGGAUCGGCGGUAGUUUUUUCAUUAAGACACUGUCGGGACCACGGGAGAAAUCAAAGUGUCUGGACUCUGGGGGAAGUAUGGUCGCAAGGCUGAAACUUGAAGGAAUUGACGGAAGGGCACCACCAGGAGUGGAGCCUGCGGCUUAAUUUGACCCAACACGGGGAAACUUACCAGGUCCAGAGAUGUAGAGGAUUGACAGAUUGAAGCUCUUUCUUGAUCACUUCGGUGGUGGUGCAUGGCCGUUCUUAGUGGUGGAGUGAUUUGUCUGGUUAAUUCCGUUAACGAACGAGACCUCAGCCUGCUAGUGUAGUCGGCUGGAUUGCCUUUGGCGAUCCGUGAUUUCGACUUCUUAGAGGGACAAUCGACGCGCAGUCGAUGGAAGUUUGAGGCAAUAACAGGUCUGUGAUGCCCUUAGAUGUUCUGGGCCGCACGCGCGCUACACUGCUGGGCUCAGCGAGUUUUACUUGGCCGAGAGGCCCGGUUAAUCUUGUGAAAUCCCAGCGUGCUUGGGCUCGCCUCCUGCAACUGGAGGCGCCAACGAGGAAUUCCUAGUAGACGCAGGUCAUCAACCUGCAUCGAUUACGUCCCUGCCCUUUGUACACACCGCCCGUCGUUCCAUAAGAGUGAGGCAUCCGGUGAAUUCUCGGGAGAGCCUGGGCGUGGCCAGCAAUGGUCUGCUCGGGUUUGAACUUGCAUAAACUUGGUGCCUAUGAUUAGGG
rnacentral:rRNA from 1 species